rnacentral:sRNA from 1 species
CUCCAGUUCCUCGGCACUUUCUCGUCGUCUUUUUCUACAUCUGCAUCGUCUUCGUCGUCCUGUC